AAGGAUGAGGAUCUUGAGCAAAAAUUCGAUUUGGUAAUUGCUCAGAAAGUUUGCGCGCUUCUUUAAGGGCUUCAAGACGAUGUAAAACACUCGAUGGAAGUCUAGUAGAAGAGUAAUCAUCAUUUGUACUAUUGCUUCUAUUACGCUCUUUCUUGGCAACCUCAGGUAAACUUAUGGCUGAUGUUUUAGCACUCGCACUCAACUGCGUUGGAGCUGUUUUUAGAAUCGAUUGUGUGGAAGCAGCAUCAUUAUUUGAGGGAUUUUGAUGUUGAUCAGUGAAUUCUGAAAUUUGGUCUUGAAUGGGGCUAGCGCCGUUAGUAUUGUGAGUACGUUCUUGAACGUCUGCACUAGCGACGGAGGAAUUGGUGAGUGAGCUUUGGGGUGAAUGGUACAAUGGUCCUGUAGCAGAAGAAGGUGGUUUUGAAACAGAAGGAGAAUUGAGGCCAGUAGCUAAAGAAACUGACCUACGAGGACGGGCUUGUCUAGGCGACGCAUCUAGAUGAAAUUUGUUUAAUUGAUUAAGUGAUGGAGGAUGAGUGCAUCCAUGAGCAACAUUUGAAUCAUACAAUGUUCCUUCUGAGUUCUCAUUUGUCUUUGACAAAGUCGAUUUGGGUGUGGACUGUUGAUGCCCGGCAGGAGAAUGUGAAUGGGGACUUGGCGUGACAAACGUCAGCAUGCCAGGUGAAACCGCAUGGCUAGUAUCUGAUGGGGCACUAAAUAAGUAAGAAUCAACCACAGAGGAGUCAUUUUCUUCCGAGUGACUAAGAUUAGCUGAAGCGGAUAAAGCAGCGGAAACAGUACUUUCACUUCGCGUUCUAAAGACUGAUUCGUUUCGCGACAAAUAUCCCUUUAUAUUGGCAAUAAACAACUGCAUAUCAGAAUCUUGCAAGUCAUUAUUAGCGAUAUGCGGAGGAGGAAACACAAUGUGAUUGUUUUCAAUUUUAAGAAUUUCAAGAUUCGGCAUAUGUGCAAUGUAGGUGGGAAGCUCAAAAAGACGAUUUUUAGAAAUUGAAAGAACUUUAAGGUUCAUUAAAGCUCCAAAGGAUUCUGGCAGUUGCUUGAUUUUAUUGCGAGAAAUGUCUAAAAUUUCAAGUGACUCAAGUCGACACAAAGAUUCGGGAAACUCUCUAAGGACAUUCGAUCUAAUAUUUAGGUACCGGAGACGAGUAAACUUUAGGAUUUCAGGACCAAUACUCUUUAUAAAGUUAUGGCCUAGCGCUAGUCUCGCUAUCCGACCCUGGAUUCUUUCCAAUUGUUCAUAAGGUAAUUCCCGCAAGUUUAGAUGAGAUAGAUCUAACGUAAGUGCAUUUUCAGGACCCGCAUCUUCUGCCUCUUUAAUAAUUCUUUCAAUUUCUGAGUUUUUUGUGGAGGACACCUCAUGAGCAGACAUAGCAUGAAAAGAUCGAUCACCUCAGACGUAAAUCCGAAGGUUUUGUUGAAAAAAAAAGGAACUCUAAGAAGUAAUAAUUACUAAAAAAAUGCAAUGAACAUAAAAUUGAUCCACAAUGGUAUGCUAUAAUGUACAAAAGUCAAUUCCCCAAAAU